rnacentral:rRNA from 1 species
GACGAACGCUGGCGGCGUGCUUAACACAUGCAAGUCGAGCGGUAAGGCCCUUCGGGGUACACGAGCGGCGAACGGGUGAGUAACACGUGAGCAAUCUGCCCUUCACUCUGGGAUAACCCCCGGAAACGGGAGCUAAUACCGGAUACGACCACUUCAGGCAUCUGAUGGUGGUGGAAAGUUCUGGCGGUGGAGGAUGAGCUCGCGGCCUAUCAGCUUGUUGGUGGGGUAAUGGCCCACCAAGGCUUCGACGGGUAGCCGGCCUGGGAGGGUGACCGGCCACACUGGGACUGAGACACGGCCCAGACUCCUACGGGAGGCAGCAGUGGGGAAUAUUGGACAAUGGGCGAAAGCCUGAUCCAGCAACGCCGCGUGAGGGAUGACGGCCUUCGGGUUGUAAACCUCUUUCAGCGCAGACGAAGCGAAAGUGACGGUAUGCGCAGAAGAAGCACCGGCCAACUACGUGCCAGCCGCCGCUGUAAGAC